GAUGAACGCUGGCGGCGUGCCUAAUACAUGCAAGUCGAGCGAACAGAUAAGGAGCUUGCUCCUUUGACGUUAGCGGCGGACGGGUGAGUAACACGUGGGUAACCUACCUAUAAGACUGGAAUAACUCCGGGAAACCGGGGCUAAUGCCGGAUAACAUUUAGAACCGCAUGGUUCUAAAGUGAAAGAUGGUUUUGCUAUCACUUAUAGAUGGACCCGCGCCGUAUUAGCUAGUUGGUAAGGUAACGGCUUACCAAGGCAACGAUACGUAGCCGACCUGAGAGGGUGAUCGGCCACACUGGAACUGAGACACGGUCCAGACUCCUACGGGAGGCAGCAGUAGGGAAUCUUCCGCAAUGGGCGAAAGCCUGACGGGGCAACGCCGCGUGAGUGAUGAAGGUCUUCGGAUCGUAAAACUCUGUUAUUAGGGAAGAACAAAUGUGUAAGUAACUGUGCACGUCUUGACGGUACCUAAUCAGAAAGCCACGGCUAACUACGUG
rnacentral:rRNA from 1 species